GCAUCUCCCUUAGCCGAGCAGCUCGCUCUUCUUCUGAAAGUUUAGGAGCACCAUUCCUACGCUUAUAUUGUGAUUCAUUCCGACCUUUCACGGAAUAUUUUUCUACGUCUGAACUGUCAUUUUUCCCCUUGACAACCCCUUGCCCAUCCUCUCUGGCAACUUUUAUAGAGUGAUUCUUCUCACCCCUAUGUGCUCUGUCACGUGACACAUCUUCAAAAUCUGAAUGCUUAACAUGGUUCUUCUCACUUCGACGAGCUCUCCUACCCGAUUCAUCUUCAGAAUCUGAAUUCUUAACAUGGUUCUUCUCACUUCGACGUGUUUUGUAAAGUGAUUCAUCUUCGGAAUCUGAAUGAUUAACACGCUUCUUCUCACUUCGAUGUGCUCUGUAAUGUGAUUCAUGUUCAAAAUCUGAAUGCCUAACGGGGUGCUUCUCACUUCGACCUGCUCUGUAAUGCGAUUCGUCUUCUGCAACUAAAUGCUUAACAUGGUUCUUCUCACUUCGCCAUGCUCUGUAACGUGAUUCAUCUGCGGAAUCUGAAUGCCUAACAGGGUUCUUCUCGUUCCGACGUCCUCUGUCACGUGAUUCAUCUUCUGAAUCUGAAUGCUUUGCAUGCUUCUCACUUCUACGUACUAUUUUACGUGAUCCAUCUUCGGAAUCUGAAUUAUUAGCAUAUUUUGAUAUCUUGUGAUGACUACUCUUCCUCCUUUCCACUUCAACAGUUUCAUUUUCUGAAUCGGAUGCUUGUUUGGAUGAUGAGUGCUUGCGGUGUUUGGAUGUGUGAUGGCGCUUCUUCCGAGGUUCCUUCUUGUCAUCUUCUUUCUCUGAGGGCUUCUUUGCGUCUACCUUUUAUUGCAAAAAAUAAAAAUAUGGUCAGCACAAACAUACCAGCUCUAAAUAAAAUCUGGUGUUAAAAGGCCGUGACAUUUUUUUUCCCUUAUUUCAAUGUUUCAAACAUUGUAGCUUGAAUGCUUCUCUUAAACAAAUCAUAAGCAUCUGUAAAACCCUGAUAAACAUAGCAAAAGACUCAAAAUGGGCAUAGCAAUAAAUUGCCAGUGUUUGCUGGGGGCGAAAUUCAUGCCCUGUGAACAGAUAAUCUUCUCAAGUAAAAAAAUUGGAAACAACGAAGACUUGUAGACCUACCAAGAGCAUAAUCCAUAGGACAAAAAGGACUUCCUCUGAAUAGAAGGCUAGCUAUAGUGAUGUAGAACCAGUAUCAGAUUUUAGGGUUUUGUAAUUUGAAGGCAGAAAAGAGAGGUAGGAAAAGAAGAAUUACAAGGAGAAGAUCGCAGGAAGAGAAUAGGCUGCUUGCUUAAUCAUUCAAACCAGUCUAUAUUGAGUUACAAAGCCUCUAUUUAUAAUAAUCUAACCUCAUAGCACAAUAGGACAGUAAUCGUAAUCCCACUCGAAAAAGUAAAGUAAUCAUAAUCCUAGAUGAAAUAGUGGGGCACAUGUGCAACCAAUCCCACAUCGAACAUCAAGCGCAGAAGAAUGGUGUUAUAUUAAACCCAAUGACUCGGACACGACACGGACAAUGCCCCAUUAAACCUGGUAACUUGGGCAUGGCACUGACCCAUAGGACCCACAAUCAAAACCCGCUCUGAUACCCUGUCAGAUAUAUAGAGAGACGGGCCAAUGGCCCACCCUAACUACCCUGAUACUAUCCCAACUUAACCACAUAUUGCUAGGUGUUGUGUUUUACAACAAAAGACCUCGAUGUUAUUAGAGUAGAACCAAUACACAUAUAUAUUGUAUUUAUAUUCUCAAUUCUCUCUCUUAGGCCCUGAAACCUCUGCAUCGAACCAAACUAGCAUUGACGACUAAAUUUUACAUCUACAGUUUUAUUGUCUGCAUUGAGAGAGGCAUACUUGUAUGUAAUUUGGACACUUUCAAAUCAUCAAUUCAUUUAUAAUUACUUUGUCUAACAUAAUAACUAAUCUAAUCUAUUGUUGGUUAGAGAAGAAAAGAAAAGUACUGGUAAAAAUAAAAAUUAGAACUUACAGAUUUGCGAAUCAUGGCCAUCUGGACAGGAUUGUUUUUAAUACGAGAGGGCUUCCUGCUCGCGCUGCCGGAUCAUAAGCAAAGGAUCCGAGUGGAGCUUCCUCCAAGCAUCGUUGGCAGAUUGGG
rnacentral:lncRNA from 1 species